GACGACGACGGCGAUGAUGACAAUGACAAUGACGACGACGACGAGGAGGAGGAGGAGGAGGAGGAUGAAGAUGAGGACGAUGACGAGGAUGAGAUGGAACAACGUAGGCAGAUCCCAAAACGUUACCAUCAAAAAAAAAAACCAAAAAAAUAAUUAGACCACUGCGAGGAGCAAUGCGUUAUCCGUUAAAUCUUUACUAUAUAUUGGCAUGCAUUCAUCAUUUAUUAUUUUUAUGUGUUUGUAAACAUGUGUGAGUAGGUAUACGUGUGCGAGGUAUACCCUCUAUAUCUACCAAUUGCAUUGGCAUCAUUGACAAAUAUUAGAAUAGUCGAUGUGUUUAAACUAACUUUAAGUGUGAAGCGCUUCUUUGCUUUCGUGGAAGCAAUAUCUGGAUUGUGUUCUUUUUGUGUGCACAGAGGUUUGCGCGUUGCGGUUUUAAUAUAAGGUCAAUUUGAAUCGAAAAAUGGGAUAGGCCAACGUGUUGCCAUGCCUUGAAAAUGGGAAACAAGUGUAAUUGGCAAAACAUGUUGAUAAAAGGGUUAAUUAGAAGAGGAACGAACCAUCUGUGAACGCCGGCAGAAAUGUAUGGAGAAAGGAGGUCAGCCAAGACAAGACAAGACAAGGCAAGGCAAAGUAUGCUUAUUCGCGUUGUAAUAAUGCGGACUGGAGCACACUUUCUCCAUACAGAGCCACAUAUCGAUGCUGCUAAGCUCUUCUCGCGUGGGUGGGUGAAUGAGAGUAAAUCUAAAAAUAACUUCCUGGCAACACGUACUGCCGCCCACGCGCGUUGCUACUCUGUCUUUGUGUUUGCGCCUGGCUGAGCAGGGAGCUUGCGACUUACCCGAAACCAAAUCCCUCAAAUGCCACAUAUCAAAUCCGUAAAAUUACCGCGUGCUGAUGCUUGCCUAAUGGCACCCGCUGCACAUACACCCAGCCGCCUACCCACGCACUAUAGUGCGAUGAAGCAUAAUAAUAUUCGGUUUCCAUUUAAUUUUGGCUAUCGAUAAAGCUUUUGCCACGAAGACUACAAAUUUUGAUUCUAUUUAUAAGCCAAACAAGCAAGACACAUAUCAGCCAAUAAGCCGACUCUA